GGAGGAAUAUUGGGCAAUGGUCGGAAGACUGACCCAGCCAUGCCGCGUGCAGGAAGACGGCCCUAUGGGUUGUAAACUGCUUUUGUACGGGAAGAAACCCUCCUACGUGUAGGAGCUUGACGGUACCGUAAGAAUAAGCAUCGGCUAACUCCGUGCCAGCAGCCGCGGUAAUACGGAGGAUGCGAGCGUUAUCCGGAAUCAUUGGGUUUAAAGGGUCCGUAGGCGGUCUUAUAAGUCAGUGGUGAAAUCU
rnacentral:rRNA from 1 species